GGGGUAUUUGCAUAUCUUUCGUAUUCACUUGCACUGCUUUAUCAAAAAAUAAUGUCCUUGGCAAUUUGAAUCCCAGUCUUUAAGAUAACACAUCUGUGUUUAUGAAUUACCAGGAGUCUUUUUGUUUUUUGUUUGUUGCUUUUGUUGCUGCUUGUUUUUGUAUUCUUUCUGGUAAUGGGACUAACUCCUUUUUACUUUGAAUUUGUAUUACACUGUAUCCACAGAGAAAUUUCACAAGUGUCUUUUACAUUAUUUUAACAAUCACCCCCCCACCACCUACAACUUUAAAUUAAAUAUCAUGAUCCAUUAUUUCCAGCACUUGUUGCCCACCUAACAUGUACCAGACUCCUUAUUUAAUGCUUUCACCAGGAUAUUUAAUUUCAUCUUAAAAUUAUCCUUUAAAUACAAAGACAUAGGAUCUGAGAGAGUAAGUAAUUUGCCCAAUGGCACCCAGUUAGGAAGUGGUGGGAUAGGGGUUCUAACUCAGUUCUGCCUAAUCUAAUUCCUGAUUGUUUCUCCCAAUCAGAAUGCAGUCUGAAAUGAUGCUCUUUUUUAGCGCUGUGCUAGCAGGAAGGUCUGUGAAGUUUGCAAUAAAGCCAUUAUGAAGUCAAGAAUGGAGGUUCCAUUUUUAAAGAACUCAGAGGGGGUAGAUCUUGAUUGACAUCUCAUCUGGGGUCACCUGGUCUUCAACUGAGAGAUCUUUUGGUUCGCCACGGAUGCCCCUUGCAGUUAUGGAAGUUCACUCUUUGAGAGAGAGAUAAAUAAACAUUAAAAUGUAAAGAAAAAAAAAAUCAGCAAUGGAAGGAAAAAGGAACAAAAAGCAAUCCAUUGGCGUCAAGCUUGACUGGACCACUCCACUGCUCUGCUGCCGUUAGUGAACCUGACCCUGCAGCAGGAGUCACAGACUCACCACUCACCUCAAGUCCUCACUCCCUGGACCCUCAAUCUACACAUCACUUUGUCUUUUAUUUCCCUGAGAAAUACAGGCCAUCAGUUUGCAGAUCCCUCCUUUCCCCUUACCCUGCAAAUCUCCAUCUAUUUGGAAAAGUGUGCCUCCUACAUUCCAAAGCUAACCCCUCCUCCUCUGCCACUAAUAUCAGCCCUACCUGCCUUCUUCUGUAACUUGCUCCAUUAAUUCCCUCCCCUCUCCCCCAGGUCUCCCUGCCUAUGAACAUAUUCAAGGACAUCAUAUCUUAAAAACAAACAAAUAUCAGGCACAAUGGCUCACACCUGUAAUCCCAGCACUUUGAGAGGUCAAGGCAGGAGAAUCACUUGAAUCCAGGGGUUCAAGACCAGCCUGGGAAACAUAGGGAGACCCUAUCUCUACAAAAAAUAUUUUUUAAAAAAAUUAGCCAGGUGUGGUGGUGUGCACCUGUAGUCCCAACUACUCAGAAGGCUGGGGUGGGAGAAAUAUUUCAGCCCAGGACGUCACUGUGCACAAUUGCUUUACUUUUUUUUCCCUUGGUAUAGACUUGUUGAAGAGUAAGCCUUCAUGUACUGUUUCCUCACUUUACAUUCACUCUCAACUGGAGACAAUAUAGAGUCUUCGCAGAUGCAGCUUUCUCCAGACCAACAAUGUGGUUAGACAUCUGGUUUUUCAUUGUUGUUGUUUGAUUUCUCUGACUAGCUUCCCUGACCAGAGGUCGUUUUGAGUUUCCUUCUCUGGAAUUUGACCACUGAGCAGAGACACAUAGGAGAGAAGACGUGAAUGCUGAGUCAUCAAUCAGCAUCACUGGGAAGAAAAAGCCUCUCAGUUUCUUCUGCUGGGACUCCCAGAGCUGGAGUAUUUUCUGCUCUUCCUAAGGCCUGGUAAUUCAGCUCUUUGUGAGACUGUGAGCUUUACCAUACCCUUCCAGUAGCAACCUUCUUCUUUUUUAAGUUCAUUGCGGGGAAUAGGGAGUGAUGGCUGAUGGACAUAGGGUUUCUUUUUGGGGUGACAAAAAUCUUCUAAAAUUAAGUGGUGGUGAUGGUUGCACAAUUUUGAAUAUACUAAAAACCGUGAAUUCUAAAGUUUAAACAGGUGAAUUCUGUGCUAUAUAAAUUGUAUCUCAAUGAAAUUACUAAUAUUCUAAAGCCUCCCAAGUGACUUAGAUGUUCGGUGAGUGUUGAAAGCCAGUUAUUUAUCACAUCCUUAAGUCCUGCUACCUUUCUCUCACUCUCUAAGUUCAGUUUCCUCUUUGGUUUGACUUGGACCAAUCUGCAACAACUCUUGAUGUUUCUUGUAAAUUCUAUGACUAACUCCCAGAGCUUCUCCUGUCUAUCUGAUACGCAUUUAGCUUCUCCUUUCAGGCCUCAAACAGCAUGUUUAGAACAGAACUGAUCUUCUUCUCCCCAACCUGCUUUACCUUUUCUAUUUCUCACUCAGUUACUGGCACAAACUUCUCCAUAUAUGUUUAAGAAGACCUCUACUUUGACUUUCCCUGCUCCUUCUAACUUACAUCCAAUUAAUCAAAACGUUGUAUCAGUUUUAUUUCUGAAACAAUCUCUCCCAUCUUCCUUAUCUCUUCAUUCCACUGCCAGGUCUGAGUCCACCCUUUACUAUUUUCUGUUGGAUUAAGGCAAACCUCCUGUAAAGAGCUGCCCUGUCUCCUGCAGUCUCAUCCUCCAGUACCCCUUCAUGCCUACACUGAAGUCCUCUUCCUAAAACAGGAAUAGGGUUAACUCACUCACCUCCCCUAAACCUGUUAGUGGCUCUGCACUGAGUACUGGAUCAAGUCUAAUGUAAUGAGAAGGCCCAUUCAAUCUGGGCCAAACUUUCCUUCUUAGCCUAGUGUCCUCCUAUGCCCCCUGCACAGACCUUAGCUCCAAUCACACUAACCCAUGCCAUUACCUGGACACACUGUGCUAGUCUACACUCACGUGCCCCCAGCUCACAUCUCCCCUUUUCCUGGAAUGCCAUGUCCAUAUGGCCUGGAGAAUGACCUAAAGUUAGUGCCAGCAGAGAGCUUAUCAGUAGUGGGGCAGAUCACAGGGGAGAGCAGGUUUUGGAGCUAGGGUGAGGUGUCAAUGAGAAGAAGGGUGAUUUAUUAAGAAGUAAGCUCAUUUCAAGCCAUACACCUGAAACCUGACGCCCAAAGAGGAGGCAGAGACCCAAUCAACUACUGAUACAGUUUGUGAGGCUGGAGACUUGAGAGAACAAUAGGUUGAGGCAAGUGUAACCAAUGGAUUAAUUCCUUACCAAUCUAGGAUUCCUGGAGCGUGGAGUGCUCCAGGCCUGGUGGCACCAAGACUUUAAAAAGAAAAACCAUUACACAGUGAGAUUUGGUCUCUACACAAAAUUUAAAAAUUAGUGUGGUGUGGUCGCACACAACUGUAGUAACAGCUACUCAGGAGGCUGAGGUGGGAGGAUCGCUUGAGCCCAGGAGUUUGAGGCUUCUAGGAGUUUGAGGCUUGCUAUGUUGCUCAGGCUGACCUCCAGCUCCCGGGCUCAAGAGAUUCUCCCGCCUCAGCCUCCUGUGUUGUUGGGACUACAGGCACGCACCACCAUGCCCUGCUGGUUAGCUGUUUUUAAAAAUUAUUUUUAAAGCAUCAUUAAAUUUCUCAUACUGAAAAAAAUGGCCUGGAUACUUUAAGAAGAAUAAGACAGAUUUGAGCAUUCAGCAAUCAUAGCUGAACUUCCUAAGAGACUAUAGCAAGCUGGUUACUAGGGAAAUUGUUUUUUUCCUUACUGAAAAAAAAUCCGGUGUUAAUAUAUCAUUUUAGAUGUGUAAUGUUUAGGGGUCCUUAUUGUUCAAGGAAUAUAAAGUAAGAGGGGCCGUCUCUCAUUGUAUAAUAUAAAACAAAAAAGAAAAAGUAUUGAUCUCAGAGAGAAAGUAAAUUGUAGCUAAAUUAGAGGAAGAAAAUCAUGCCUCUUAUUUAUCCUUGACUCCCCACUGACCAGCACAGUGCUCAAGAAAUUUAUUAAAUGAAAAAAGAAUCAGAAAAAAAAUUAAAGGAAGAAAAAGAGGAAGGAAGAAAGUUAGGAAGGGAGGGAACAUAUCUUAAAAGAAACUGUAAACCAGUCUGUUCUGGUUUUUUUUUUUCCCCUCCUAGUUGCCAAUUGAAGUUUCUUCUUAAAAAUAACCCUAUGUCAACUGAACUAAGUUAAAACGUGCUAACCUGGGAAAGAUAAAAAGAAACAUUAUGUCUCUAUAGGUUCUUUGUGAUGAAACAAAUCCGCCUCAACCCAGAACACUAGCAAAGCGUGGGGUAAGGCAAAUAAGACUUAAAAAUUUUGAUGAUUUGUAGAAAACAGAAGUUCACAGUUCAGCAGUUCCUUCUUGCUUGGGAUGAUCUUCACAACACCAGCCCCCAAAUGGAAGGGUAACUAACUGCUCCAGUUCAGUUGGCUACCUUGUGAGGCUGGCAUCCAUUCCUAGCAAAAAUGGGCAGAAAUGGGGAAAUGCCUCCCCUUAAGACCAUAGCUUUUCACCUUGACCUUCCUCCAUUUUAUCUACUCCAGAAGGUCUCCACCAAGCUCCCAGCAGCACAGCAUGCUCAAAACCUGACAUAUCCAUGGUAACUUUUCACAGCAAUGUGAUGAAAUUUGAGAAACAAACCAGAAAUGUAAUGUGAUCACCCACAUCAUAUCAGCCUCACAGGCAAUCAAGAGCUUGGCUUCAAUUACAAAAUGAACUCCAGAAAUCUUCCAACAGUUAGUCAAUCCCAGCCUUUCACAUGAAAAUGUAUUUAAUUUACAUAAUACUGUGAAGAAGGUAUUGUUAUGAUCCUCACUUUGCAGCCUAUGGAAGUAGGGAUUAGUCCUUGAUGAAGAGUCAGAAGAUGUAUGUACUUUCAAAAGUGAUUUAAUAUGGAAACUGGAAAAAAAUUAUAAAACAUGUAAUGGAAUCCUAAAUAGGAUACUGAUAAGGUUUGGCUCUGUGUCCCCACCAAAGUCUCACCUUGAAUUGUAAUAAUCCCCACGUGUCAAAGGCAGGUCCAGGUGGAGAUAAUUGAAUCAUAGGGGUGGUUUUCCCCAUACUGUUAUGAUAGUGAGUUCUCAUGAGAUCUGAUGGUCUUAUAAGGGGCUUUCCCCCUUUUGCUCAGCACUUCUCCUUGCUGCUGCUGUGUGAAGAAGGAUGUGUUUUCUUCCUCUUCCUCCGUGAUUGUAAGUUUCCUGAGGCCUCCUCAGCAAUGCUGAACUGUGAGUCAAUUAAAUCUCUUUCCUUUACAAAUUAACCAGUCUUGGGUAUGUCUUUAUUAGCAGCAUAAGAACAGACUAAUACAGAUACCCAAAGUCAUUGGUAUUAGGACAAAGGAGCAGAAAUUCAUAAAGGAAAGACAGAGACACAGAGAGAUGGCUGACUUUUUUCUUAAUGCCAGGUUUUAGAAAUGAAAGUAUUUAAGGCUUUGAUAAUAUAUAUUAUCAAAUUAUAUUUCAAAGUGUGGUAAUAAUCUACAGUCCUUCCCAAAAGUCCUGAAAAUGUUUAUUUCAUUUCAUUAGAUAUGAUACAUUUAAAAGUCCUUAAACCUUGAUACACAAGAAUAUAUACAAAUAAUUUUGCACUUUCUUCAACAUUUUCUUGUAUGUGUGAUAAAUACAUUUCCUAUUCUGUGUAUUAUCAUUAUGGUUUUUAUACUUUUCAUGUUUUAAUAUUUUAAAUUAUUUUAUAACAAACGUAUUAACCUUUAAAAAGAAGACAAAUGUAGACUGUCUUUAAUUACAUUCUGCAUUAGAAACCAUAAAUAUUUUAGCAUUCAAAUUCAUGCAGUCGAGAAGAGUCUUAAAAAAUUCUGUAGGUGUUCAAAUGAAAAUAUAAAGAGAUUGGAGAAAAAUUGAUCUCAAGCAAGAGAGAGAAUAAAAAUCACUCGUAAGAAGUAUAGGUGUUCUCAUGGCUAAAUUUGGCAGUGGUGGUAAAAAUGGGAGGUGUAGAUAAGAAGAUUUCAAAUAGAAGAAAUAAUCAAGAAUAUAUCCUUAAAACGCUGAGUUGAAACAUAAAACUGAAAUACCAUUAUAUAGGUGAUUCUAUUAUGCAACCAGAGUUGAGAACCACAGAUCUCAUUGAUUUAUGCAGUCCUUUCCAUCAAGAACCCUCUCUGACUUUAAAUUCAAUGUAUCAGUACAUUGAUAUUUUAUCACAUCCACUUCCUUUCUGUCCGUAGUCACCUUGGAUGGACAGUUUACACAAUAAUUUGUAGAAAUAAUAAUAAUAAAAUAAUGUGGAGAAGAGUUUCCACAAUAAUUUUUGGAAUUUAAUGAUUUUGACAUUACACAUAGUCUUAAUGGUUUGAUAGAAACAAAUGUGUGACUUGAUAAAAGAUCAGCUGAUCUCAUGAAUUCUUAAACACAGCUCUUUAAGGAAUUUUUCCUUUUAUAAGGAAUCAUCAUCUUAGAAAAACAUUUAAGCUUUUAAUAUCAUUGGACUUGCUAUUAUUUUUAGUUUAUGAAUUUUUUUAAAAAAAUUAGAAAUGAAUUAAAAUUAAUGGCAGAAAUACCUUCAAAUACUUUCACACUGACUAAUCUGAAUGGGGUUAGGGACAGAUGACAGCAACUCAAAAUGACACAGAGGAAGAAACUUCAGACUUCCUGGGGAUUUUCUGGUAAACUCUGACUAAAAACUAACUCCUCUGAUUGUGCAGCAAUGUUCCCUGCUAACAUAGCCUUCCUUUUGGACUACCAGCUUUUUUUUUUUUUUUUUUUUUUGAAACAGAAUCUCACCUUGUCACCCAGGCUGGAGUGCAAUGGCAUAAUCUCAGCUCACUGCAACCUCUGUCUCCCAGGCUCAAAUGAUUCUCCUGCCUCAGCCUCCUGAGUAGCUGGGAUUACAGGCGCCCAUGGACUACCAGCUUUUUAAGUAGACUUUUUAGCCAAAGGCCAAGGGAAACUACCCUCUUCCUACUGGGGUUCAAAUUGAUUAAAAUGGUUUGCUUUGACUUUUGUUGAAGUCUCUUUAUUUUCUUUUUAAGAUUAUGUUAAAUUAUAAUCCACAUUGGCUUUCUUUUUACAGGUAAACUUUUUCUCUUCUAGAUUUCUAGACGGCCUUCCCCCACUUCGCUUCUCUCUCUGCCAUUUUCCUCCCCUCUCCCGCCUCCCCAAGUUAGAAGAGGCUGACAAAAAGAGGCUCAUCAAAGUUAAAUGUUGCCAACAUAAAUUGGUCCCUCUUCUCUUCCUUGAUGUGACUGGUCUCUCAACCUAUUGAUGGCAUCCAGUUCCAACUUUCCUCUUCUCAUUUGGGACAUUGGGAGGAGAGUAGUCUCUAUUUUUAAUAACAAAGUAG
rnacentral:lncRNA from 1 species